CACGUAGUUAGCCGUGGCUUUCUGGUUAGGUACCGUCAAGACUUGUUCAGUUACUAACAAAUUUGUUCUUCCCUAACAACAGAGUUUUACGAUCCUAAGACCUUCAUCACUCACGCGGCGUUGCUCCGUCAGGCUUUCGCCCAUUGCGGAAGAUUCCCUACUGCUGCCUCCCGUAGGAGUCUGGACCGUGUCUCAGUUCCAGUGUGGCCGAUCACCCUCUCAGGUCGGCUACGUAUCGUUGCCUUGGUAAGCCGUUACCUUACCAACUAGCUAAUACGGCGCGGGUCCAUCUAUAAGUGACAGCCGAAACCGUCUUUCAACAUUGAACCAUGCGGUUCAAUAUAUUAUCCGGUAUUAGCCCCGGUUUCCCGGAGUUAUCCCAGUCUUAUAGGUAGGUUACCCACGUGUUACUCACCCGUCCGCCGCUAACAUCAGAGAAGCAAGCUUCUCAUCUGUUCGCUCGACUUGCAUGUAUUAGGCACGCCGCCAGCGUUCAUCCUGAGCCAGGAUCAAACUCU
rnacentral:rRNA from 1 species